UACGGGGGGGGCAAGCGUUGUUCGGAAUUACUGGGCGUAAAGGGUUCGUGAGUGGCCAACUAAGCCAGACGUGAAAUCCCUCAGCUUAACCGGGGAACUGCGUCUGAUACUGGAUGGCUUGAGAUUGGGAGAGGGAUGCGGAAUUCCAGGUGUAGCGGUGAAAUGCGUAGAUAUCGUAAGGAAGACCAGUGGCGAAGGCGAAUCUCUGGACAGUUACUGACACUGAGGCACGAAGGCCAGGGGAGCAAACGGG
rnacentral:rRNA from 1 species